GGUCGAACCAUCACGACGUUCGAUCCCCUUUAAUAGUAGAGAUGUCCUGCCUCCUGCCGCUUCUAAACUCAAACACACGCACACGAAGCCUCAUCGCGGAUCAUCUAAAAAAUUACAGGCGCUACAAUCAGAUGCCCCCGCUGCCGUCCUUGGGAACGGCUCGCCGCCCGGCGGUCCUCCACUCGACCACUGCCUUACGCACACCGGCUUCUCCUUACGCGUUGAGUCCGCAACUACCGGGUCGUGCGGGAGAGUGCGGAUCACGUGGCUUGAGGCGGUCGGGGAUGCGGGGAUCCAGGUGUCGGCGGCGGAUCUCGCCGGAUCCGUUGAAGGCGACGGCGGUGAUGGCUUGCGGCGAAGCGAGGCGACACAGAGUAGCCCGGGGAGGACGCGGCGCUUCUGUCGGUGCUGGGAAGAUGCGGAGGCGACCGGAUCUGGGGCGGCAGCGGCGGUUGCGGUUGCGGUUGCAGAAGACUUCGGUGGCAGUUCUUCUCCAGCAUUUCCGACACCAACAAGGCCGCCGGGAGGUCCCGGCUCGCCAACCAGCAACUGGACGGCAAAGCCUGGUGACGCGUGGGCGGAACCUCUUCCCACUGCUCCCGCGGGCGUUCAAGGGCAUCAAGCAGAUGGAGUUCAUCAAGACCUGUAUUCUUUUGCCCCCUUUUGUGAAAGGUAAAGAAUGUUGCUGGAGACUAUACAACAUAUGUGCUAUACAAGCAACCUCCCCAGCCGUGUACCAAGACUUCAUCAAGACCACGACCGAGAUUUGAAGAAACAGUGCUGACCUUGAUGAAAAAAGGAACAUCUGCCCUGAAAACUGCAUAGAGGCGGCACUGAAACUAUCCCAGGGCUGGGCUACAGUUAAACAGAGCUUCUUGAACUUUACUGAAGGUCGUAGCCCCGUCGAAGGCAAUGUCAAUGUAGAUGCUGAUGUCAAAGCCCUUGUUGUCAACCCCUUGCUACAAAAGCUAACGGAUUUUCUUUCCAGACUGAAGGCAUACCCUUACAUGAGCGACAAUGAUUAUUCUGCUUUUUUGCAAACCACGCAAGAUUUUUGCAGCGACAGGACCAUGACCCCUCAAGAAAUUUACAAAAACGUGCCUAUUAGUUCUUCUGAAACUGUGUGCUAAGUAAUUUUGCAGUGAUUUCUCUGAAGAAGAUUUGAAAUAAUGGGGUGUUUGAUUCAUAAUUCCUUCUUCGUAGGUGAAGAGAUGUAUAAGUAACAGUCAAGUUGUUGGAAUAGUUUGUGGAUAAUUAUCUCCCUACAGACCUAAAGGCCUUUCUAAGGGUUAAAGCAUAUGAUAAUCACAACUUGGAUGGUAUCCAUAUGAAAGAAGGUGCGCAUAAGUUUUCUACCCUCCUGCCUUGAAUACAAACAGUUCCCAGGUUCUUUGUUUCAGCAUUCACCUAUGGUAACCAGAUGCAAGUAUCCAUCCUUUUUCUAUGAAUUACUCCCAAAAAUGAAAUUUGCAGUCCACAACUUGAGCUAUUAUUUGUUUAUUUUUUUACUGCUUGCUUCCUAGCUAUUGAUCAGUACAUGAAUAUCGUCAUGCUAUCAUUCAGCAGCCGGAUCAGUAAGUUCAUAUAUGUACUAUUUUCUGAUCAAGUAACUUCAUAUAUGUACUCAUCUCUGAUAGGUAACAUCAUUAUGCCGCCGCUUGAAGAUAAACAAGCAUUUACUCUUUAUUCAGUUAAUAAACUAUUGUUUGUUUAUUUUUUUCUUGCGCAAAGCUCUACACAGGAGGUGCAUUAAAAAACUAUAUGGUGAUGAUCCUGAGCAUGAUGAUCUGUUGGUGAGUCAGAAUAAUUCUUACAGAUCGAAGUUAGCACCUAUCGAUGUGGGUUUAAAAAAUAUGAAAUUAUGAGAAUAGACAAAAACGCUCAUCGUUAAAAUUAUUUGUGUAUUUUUAAGUAGAGUUGUCGAAUGUGGUGGUAUCCAUAUGACUGGUGUCGUGGAUAUAAAUUGUCUUCUUAGGAUGAGUUAGGUUGUCGAAUUUCAUACCAGGCUUGAGCUUGAUAAUGAUAUUUACUUUUAAUGGGCUUUGUAAUGUGCUUUCAUUGAAUUAUGUCAGUAGAGAUGCACAAUGUGGGUACCUCAA